UACAGAGGUCCCAAGCGUUGUUCGGAUUCACUGGGCGUAAAGGGGGCGCAGGUGGCAUGGUAAGUUCGAUGUGAAAGCCCCGGGCUUAACCCGGGAAAGGCAUUGGAUACUACUGUGCUGGAGGAUUGGAGGGGGGACUGGAAUUCUUGGUGUAGCCGUGAAAUGCGUAGAUAUCAAGAGGAACACCAGUGGCGAAGGCGAGUCCCUGGACAAUACCUGACACUGAGACACGAAAGCCAAGGGAGCAAACAGG
rnacentral:rRNA from 1 species